AUUGAACGCUGGCGGCAUGCCUUACACAUGCAAGUCGAUCGGCAGCGCGGGAGCAAUCCUGGCGGCGAGUGGCGAACGGGUGAGUAAUACAUCGGAACGUGCCCAAUCGUGGGGGAUAACGCAGCGAAAGCUGUGCUAAUACCGCAUACGAUCUACGGAUGAAAGCAGGGGAUCGCAAGACCUUGCGCGAAUGGAGCGGCCGAUGGCAGAUUAGGUAGUUGGUGAGGUAAAGGCUCACCAAGCCUUCGAUCUGUAGCUGGUCUGAGAGGACGACCAGCCACACUGGGACUGAGACACGGCCCAGACUCCUACGGGAGGCAGCAGUGGGGAAUUUUGGACAAUGGGCGAAAGCCUGAUCCAGCCAUGCCGCGUGCAGGAUGAAGGCCUUCGGGUUGUAAACUGCUUUUGUACGGAACGAAACGGUCUUUUCUAAUAAAGAAGGCUAAUGACGGUACCGUAAGAAUAAGCACCGGCUAACUACGUG
rnacentral:rRNA from 1 species